UGGAUCGGUUAUUUAUUUUUGAAAACUAAGAGGACAGGUUAUCUAUUUUCUGCAGUAUUGAAGCAAGAUUUUUCAUUUUCAUUAAAGCAAGGGACUGAUUAUUUAUUUUCACAACUAUAUUUAUGAUAUUCGAAAAAAACAUACAAAUUUUAAAUUAUUUGUUUAUCAUAAAUAAUACAUGCAUAGUCAAGUCAUUAUGUACCAUUUAAUUAGAAUUAAUCAUCAUCCUCUGCAGAAAUGAAUCUUCUAUAUUCCCAACUGCAUAUACAUGUAUUGCAUACAUGCACAGUAUUACAUUUUAUUUGUAUCUAGCCUUUUUAAAA
rnacentral:lncRNA from 1 species